UACGAAGGGGGCUAGCGUUGCUCGGAAUUACUGGGCGUAAAGAGCUCGUAGGCGGCUCGUUGCGUCGGCUGUGAAAACCCGCAGCUCAACUGUGGGCUUGCAGCUGAUACGGGCGGGCUGGAGUUCGGUAGGGGAGACUGGAAUUCCUGGUGUAGCGGUGAAAUGCGUAGAUAUCGAGAGGAACACCUGCGGCGAAGGCGGGUUGCUGGGCUGAUACUGACGCUGAGGCGCGAAAGCCAGGGGAGCGAACGGG
rnacentral:rRNA from 1 species